rnacentral:rRNA from 1 species
GACGAACGCUGGCGGCGUGCUUAACACAUGCAAGCCGAACGGAGAUUCCCUGCUUAUUACGUGUGCUAACGUGGCGAACGGUUCGGUAACACGUGGGUACCCUGCCUAUGCCUUUGGGAAAACUUCAGGAAACUGGGGCUAAUCCCGAUAAGGAGCUCCUGCUGCAUGGUGGGGGUAUGAAAGUUUCGGCGGUUGGGGAUGUGCUCGCGGCUCAUCAGCUCGUUGUGGAGGUAGUGGCUUACCACGGCUUUGACGGGUAGCCGGCCUGAGAGGGUGACCGGCCACAUUGGGGCUGUGAUACGGCAGGGACUACUACGGGAGGCAGCAGUGUGGAAUAUUGCACGAUGGACGGAAGCCUGAUGCAGCAACGCGGCGUGCGGGAUGACGGCCUUCGGUUUGUAAGCCGAUUUCGCCUGUGACGAAGCGUGAAUGAGAGUAAUGGGUAAAGAAGCACCGGCUAACUACGUG